UACGUAGGGGGGCAAGCGUUGUCCGGAUUUAUUGGGCGUAAAGCGCUCGCAGGCGGUCCGAUGCGUCGUGCGUGAAAGACCCCGGCUCAACUGGGGAGGGUCGUGCGAUCGGUCGGACUCGAGGCCAGUAGGGGGACGCGGAAUUCCGGGUGUAGUGGUGGAAUGCGUAGAGAUCCGGAGGAACACCAGCGGCGGAAGGCG
rnacentral:rRNA from 1 species